rnacentral:rRNA from 1 species
GGGUCAGUAGGUUGGUAGUGCCACCGGUACGUACUGGUCUCACUGAUUCCUCCUUCCUGAAGAACCGUAAUGCCAUUAAUUUGGUGUUGCGGGGAAACAGGACUGUUACUUUGAAAAAAUUAGAGUGUUUAAAGCAAGCUAACGCUUGAAUACAUUAGCAUGGAAUAAUGAAAUAGGACGAUCGAUCCUGUUUUGUUGGUUUCUAGGAUUGACGUA